rnacentral:rRNA from 1 species
UACGGCGGGGGUUAGCGUUGUUCGGAAUGACUGGGCGUAAAGCGCGCGUAGGCGGGCUGGAAAGUUGGGGGUGAAAUCCCGGGGCUCAACCCCGGAACUGCCCUUGAAACUGGAGAGCUAGAAUCUUGGAGAGGCGAGUGGAAUUCCGAGUGUAGAGGUGAAAUUCGUAGAUAUUCGGAAGAACACCAGUGGCGAAGGCGACUCGCUGGACAAGUAUUGACGCUGAGGUGCGAAAGCGUGGGGAGCAAACAGG